rnacentral:rRNA from 1 species
UGGGGAAUAUUGGACAAUGGGCGCAAGCCUGAUCCAGCCAUACCGCGUGGGUGAAGAAGGCCUUCGGGUUGUAAAGCCCUUUUGUUGGGAAAGAAAAGCAGCCGGUUAAUACCCGGUUGUUCUGACGGUACCCAAAGAAUAAGCACCGGCUAACUUCGUGCCAGCAGCCGCAGUAAUACGAAGGGUGCAAGCGUUACUCGGAAUUACUGGGCGUAAAGCGUGCGUAGGUGGUUGUGUAAGUCUGUCGUGAAAGCCCUGGGCUCAACCUGGGAAGUGCGAGGGAAACGGGGCGACUAGAGUGUGGCAGAGGAGAGUGGAAUUCCUGGUGUAGCAGUGAAAUGCGUAGAGAUCAGGAGGAGAAUCCGUGGCGAGGGCGACUGCCUGGGCCAACACUGACACUGAGGCACGAAAGCGUGGGGAGCGAACAGG